ensembl:rRNA 5S_rRNA 5S ribosomal RNA
GUCUAUGGCCAUACCACCCUGAACGCACCCGAUCUUGUCUGACCUCGGAAGCUAAGCAGGGUUGGGCCUGGUUAGCACUUGGAUGGGAGACCACCUGGGGAUACUGGGUGCUGUAGGCU